AAUGUUUUUUUUUUUUUUCCUAAUGAAAGAUUGAGAAAGGAGAUUAAUUAAUUAAUUUUGAUAUCAGGAUGUGUUUGAAAAUAAAUCGCAGAUGAGAGAUUGUGAAAUUUUGUUUCUUGUUUAAAAAAAUUUAGAAAAUUUCUAAAGUGGUGCCCCCUUCUCUCGAUCCCUUAAGCACACGUUUUACUCGUUGGGUAAUCCAGCAUUGCGAACCACAUCACUUCGUGAACUUUGUAAUAUCGUGAUAUAGAAAGUAAUUACCUAAUUUAUAGUUUUUUUAGGAGACUACAUUUAUGUCGUUUACGUAGCUCAUACGUAAAUGCGUCUUUGAUACGAUGCAUCAUGGACGGAAGGCUUUAACAAAAUAAACCAAGUGGAGAAACGAGCCGAAUGUGGCUCGGAGCAACCAAUUAAGCAUCCCUGGUUCAAUCUAUUCCUCGACCGAUCGCCGAGCUUUUCGGAUACAGUUCGAAAAUAAUGCCCGCUUGCUCGCCCACGACACAACUUGCCUCCGCGAAGGUUGUCGCGAUUUUCUUCUGGCAUCGAGUCUCGUUGAUUAACUCGACGCUGCGCCGUCUGGUAUGCAACUCUUGGGAAUCAUCCAGAUACUGAGAGAGUCUGGUAUUUCGAUCGAGAUCGAUGUUUGAUUUAUUAGUCAUUUUUCUGGGAAGAAAGAAUCAGGGGAUUUAUAUUUCAACGAGUUUUUCGAGAACUGUUUUUUGCUUUGCAUAUUUUUUUGAUCGAAACUGUUGCUCACGCAAAAUUCGAGAAAAUCUACAAUUGUUUUUAAGAAAUAUAUUCGAUGGCUAUGAAUUCAUGAUAUCACCGAAUGUAGCGGAAUAUAAAAUUAAAUUUGUAAUGUAUAUUAACAGAUAUAUUUGGAUAACAUCAAUUUGGAUAUAAAAUUUAUUUCUUCGUUUCAUUUUUUCACUUGAUUAUUAAAUUUCUUAAUCGUGGAAAAUUAUCUUAUGUAUUUCCAUCUAGUAAAUAAAAUUUUUUCAAUUGUUCUUAAAA